rnacentral:rRNA from 1 species
CCUACGGGAUGCAGCAGUGGGGAAUAUUGCGCAAUGGGCGAAAGCCUGACGCAGCGACGCCGCGUGAGGGAUGAAGGUCUUCGGAUCGUAAACCUCUGUCAGCAGGGAAGAACGGUCACUGUGCUAAUCAGCAGUGAAUUGACGGUACCUGCAAAGGAAGCACCGGCUAACUCCGUGCCAGCAGCCGCGGUAAUACGGAGGGUGCGAGCGUUAAUCGGAAUUACUGGGCGUAAAGCGCUCGUAGGCGGUAUGUCCAGUCAAGGGUGAAAGCCCCGCGCUCAACGUGGGAACUGCCUUUGAAACGGGCAAACUGGAGUGUGUGAGAGGAUAGUGGAAUUCCAGGUGUAGGAGUGAAAUCCGUAGAUAUCUGGAGGAACAUCAGUGGCGAAGGCGACUAUCUGGCACAUAACUGACGCUGAGGAGCGAAAGCGUGGGUAGCAAACAGGAUUAGAUACCCCGGUAGUC